UAAUACGGAGGGUGUGAGCGUUAAUCGGAAUUACUGGGCGUAAAGCGUGCGCAGGCGGCUUUUUAAGACAGGUGUGAAAUCCCCGGGCUUAACCUGGGAAUGGCGCUUGUGACUGGAAGGCUAGAGUGCGGCAGAGGGGGAUGGAAUUCCUGGUGUAGCAGUGAAAUGCGUAGAUAUCAGGAGGAACACCGAUGGCGAAGGCAGUCCCCUGGGUCGACACUGACGCUCAGGCACGAAAGCGUGGGGAGCAAACAGGAUUAGAUACCCUGGUAGUCCACGCCCUAAACGAUGUCAACUAGACGUUGGGUUCAUUAAGGAACUUAGUGUCGUAGCUAACGCGUUAAGUUGACCGCCUGGGGAGUACGGCCGCAAGGUUG
rnacentral:rRNA from 1 species